GUGUGUGGAUGGUGUUCAGCACCAAGGACUGGUGUCUUUACCUGUGUGUGGAUGGUGUUCAGCACCAGGGACAGGUGUGUGUUGGU
rnacentral:pre_miRNA from 1 species